rnacentral:rRNA from 1 species
UAACAUCCACUCACCCCCUGUGCACCCUUUGCGGUUCUGUGGUCGGAAUACACCCGUCUUCCUUCUGUGGCUCUGCGUCUUUACACACACGCCGUACUGAUGUCCCAUGGAAUGCUUUCGCGUUUCAUGCAAUACAAUACAACUUUCCACAACGGAUCUCUUGGCUCUCGCAUCGAUGAAAAACGCAACGAAAUGCCAUCACUAAUGUGAAUUGCACAAUUCAGUGAAUCAUCGAAUCUUUGAACGCACCUUGUGCCCCUUGGUUAUUCCUCGGGGCAUGCCUGUUUGAGUAUCAUGAACACCUCAACUCUCAUGGUCUUCCAUGAUGAGCUUGGACUUUGGGGGUUUGCUGGCCCCUGCAGCCGGCUCCUCUCAAAUGAAUCAGCUUGCCAUUGUUUGGUGACGUCACGAGUGUGAUAAACUAUCUACCGCUUGCGGACGUCCGCCAGGUAACCCUCCUCGAUGAAGGCUCAUUGGGGCUCAUAAACGUCCUCUCCCUACAGAGGACACCUUUUGAAUGUUCGACCUCCGAUCCGGUAUGACUACCCGCUGAACUUAAGCAUAUCAAUAACCGAGGAA